GGGGCCGUAGCUCAGUUGGUAGAGCGCGUCGUUCGCAAUGACGAGGUCAGGGGUUCGACUCCCCUCGGCUCCA
rfam:Brevundimonas sp. Root1423 contig_2, whole genome shotgun sequence.